GAGGCAGGCGGGCGGCGGCGGGGCCGCGGGGCGAGGCGAGCGCCGGGCGGCCGCGGCAGAGGAGCCGCAGCCGCAGCGGGGCCGGGCCGGGCCGGGCGCGCACCAGUGGCGGCGGCAGCGGCAGCGGCAGCGGCGGCAGCAGCAGCAUCUUUCUCCCAGAGCCGGUGCAGGUUUCCCACACUUGGAACGCAGACCAAGCGCCGCCCAGCAGGCAGAGCUGAACUUCAUCACCCAGUCCCCAGAGCCGGCAAGACAUGGGCCCCAUUUACCAAGCCCUGACGCCUUUCAUUUAACCAGAAGACGUGGAGGGG
rnacentral:lncRNA from 1 species